rnacentral:lncRNA from 1 species
AAAGAGCGCCCAGGACCCGGGACUGCGUCCUCUUCACUGAGACCUGGCGCAUAGGGGGCCUAGUCGAGGCUGUUAAGUGAAAGCAAGCAGGGGUGGCGUGGGCCUGGCGCUCAGGUGCGCCCUAAAUGUUUGGUCAUAGCUGGCUACAAGGACAUUCGCGCAGGCUUGGAGGUGCGGGGCAGCCUGACGUGUUGCCUCUGGGGUAACCGAGGGACGCGCGGCAAACAGAGAUGGAGGACUGGCAACGGGUGCCUCGAAGAGGUCUCCUUCAGUACCUCCCACUGGCUGAGCCAGCAGGAAGCCUACAAGCAAGGAACCCAGAUGGUGCUGCUUUCAAAGUCCACCUCUGCAGGUAAAGAGCAGAGUGCAAAAGGGUGAAGGGUGGAUCGGUAGGAGCAAAGGCAAGAAUACCUAGCAGGUGUGUGAUCAUCUGACAGUGUGGAAACUGCCAAAGCAUGUAGCCAAGGGCCUUAAGGGAACCUGGAAAACCAAGGCUUCUAGAGAUAAAAAGCUAAGGUAGCAAGAGGGCAAGUAAGACAGGUGGAAGGGGCAGAAAAGAGUAACUGAUGAGGACGAGGGCCAGAAAUGGGCCAGAAAUGAGACCAUUUUAUUGUUUGGUUAAAUACUGAGCUGGAGUCUGAGCUAGGGAAGAAAUUAAGAGGACAUAUGUCUGAGUUGAGUUGAACUGGAGCAUUAAAAAUUCUUCCACAAUUGGCUCUUAGCCUAUAUUUCUUCUUCCUAGCUAAAUUACAUGCAUUACACAAAUAAAUGUUUGGUGCCUAUCAUGUGCCAGGAACUGUUAGGCCCUGGGGAUUUAGGAGGGAACAAAAUUAACCUCCUUGGCCAGGCACAGUGGCUAAUGCCUGUAAUCUCUGCACUUCGGGACACCGAGGCAGGAGGAUUGCUGGCGGCCAGGAGUUUGAGACCAGGCUGGGCAACAUAGAGACCCUGUCUCUACAAAAAACAAACAAACAAACAAACAAAAAACCUAGGCAUAGGGGCACAUGCCUGUGGUCCUUGGGAGGAUGAAGCAGGAGGAUUGCUUGAGCCCAGGAGUUCAAGGCUGCAGUGGCUGAAUUGACUACUUAUACAUAUCCCCCUACCCAGUGCCUAAUCUUGUGUUUAUCAUUUUCUUGUUCUUAAUGUAUUUAUACGUACGUGUGUGUGUGUGUGUGUGUGUGUGUAUUUAUGUAUUUAGAGACAAUGUCUUGCUCUGUCACCCAGGCUGGAGUGCAAUGGUGCAAUCAUGGCUUACUGCAGCCUCAACCUCCCGGGCUCAGGUGAUCCUCCCACCUCAGUCUCCUGAGUAGCUGGAACCACUGGCUUGCACCACCAUGCACAGCUAAUUCUUGUUUGUUUGUCUUUAAAUUUAUUCAUUUUAAAUUUUAUUUUUGUAGAGACAGUUCUCUCUACAAAAAUGUUGCCCAGGCUGGUCUCAAAUUCCUGGCCUCAAACAAUCCUCCUGCCUUGGCCUCUCAAAGUGCUGGGAUUAUAGGUGUGAGCUUACUGUACCCAGCAAAAAUACUUUUAUUUAAAAAAUUUAUUAAAAAUUGUAAAAUAGGCCAGGUGCGAUGGCUCACACCUGUAAUCCCAGCUCUUUGGGAGGCCAAGGCAGGCGGAUCACCUGAAGUCAGGAGUUUGAGCCCAGCCUGACCAACAAGGAGAAACCCCAUCUCUACUAAAAAUACAAAAUUAG